GGGGUAUUGGCGCAGCUGGGAGCGUGCCUCAAUGGCAUUGAGGAGGCCAUGGGUUCAAGUCCCAUAUGCUCCA
rnacentral:tRNA from 1 species